rnacentral:rRNA from 1 species
AGGACGAACGCUGGCGGCGUGCUUAACACAUGCAAGUCGAGCGGAAAGGCCCUUCGGGGUACUCGAGCGGCGAACGGGUGAGUAACACGUGAGCAACCUGCCCCUGGCUCUGGGAUAGCCUCCGGAAACGGGGAUUAAUACCGGACAUUCACUCUCUUGGGCAUCUUCGAGGGUGGAAAGUUUUUUCGGCCGGGGAGGGGCUCGCGGCCUAUCAGCUUGUUGGCGGGGUAACGGCCCACCAAGGCGACGACGGGUAGCCGGCCUGAGAGGGCGACCGGCCACACUGGGACUGAGACACGGCCCAGACUCCUACGGGAGGCAGCAGUGGGGAUAUUGCGCAAUGGGCGGAAGCCUGACGCAGCGACGCCGCGUGGGGGAUGAAGGCCUUCGGGUUGUAACCCCUUUCACCAGGAGCGAAUCCAGACGGUACCUGGGGAAGAAGCGCCGGCUAACUACGUGCCAGCAGCCGC